GACGAACGCUGGCGGCGUGCCUAAUACAUGCAAGUCGAACGCACAGUUUAUACCGUAGCUUGCUACACCAUAGACUGUGAGUUGCGAACGGGUGAGUAACGCGUAGGUAACCUGCCUGGUAGCGGGGGAUAACUAUUGGAAACGAUAGCUAAUACCGCAUAAUAUUAAUUAUUGCAUGAUAAUUAAUUGAAAGGUGCAAUUGCACCACUACCAGAUGGACCUGCGUUGUAUUAGCUAGUAGGUGAGGUAACGGCUCACCUAGGCGACGAUACAUAGCCGACCUGAGAGGGUGAUCGGCCACCCUGGGACUGAGACACGGCCCAGACUCCUACGGGAGGCAGCAGUAGGGAAUCUUCGGCAAUGGACGAAAGUCUGACCGAGCAACGCCGCGUGAGUGAAGAAGGUUUUCGGAUCGUAAAGCUCUGUUGUAAGAGAAGAACGGGUGUGAGAGUGGAAAGUUCACACUGUGACGGUAUCUUACCAGAAAGAGACGGCUAACUACGUG
rnacentral:rRNA from 1 species